rnacentral:rRNA from 1 species
GACGUAGGGCACGAGCGUUGUCCGGAUUUAUUGGGCGUAAAGAGCUCGUAGGCGGCUCGUUGCGUCGGCUGUGAAAACCCGCAGCUUAACUGUGGGCUUGCAGCCGAUACGGGCGGGCUUGAGUUCGGUAGGGGAGACUGGAAUUCCUGGUGUAGCGGUGAAAUGCGCAGAUAUCAAGAGGAACGCCUGAGGUGAAGACGGGUUGCUGGGCCGACACUGACGCUGAGUGCGCGAAAGCCAGGGGAGCAAACGGG